AUGAGGAAGAUGUUAUAUGGUGAAGGAAGAGGUUAAAUUUAAGAAAACAGAUUUUUAAAUUUAGGGUGUUUCGUUGUGUUUGUUUUGUUUUGAGAGGUAAGGGCUUAAACAGGUUUUCUAGGCAACGUUUAUUUUUAGAUAUCUAUUAUUGAUUAAUGGGUGAAAAAUACUUCGAGAUAUAUAUAUAUUUCUAUCUUUGGUAACAAAGAAAUCAUUGUGGUAUAAAUCUUUCAUUGUCCUCAAAAAUAAAUUAAAAACACUACAUAUUACUUUUGACUAAUUUCUAUAUUUUUAUUUUCUUGUUAUUCAUAUAUUUUUACUAUGUUCUUCUCAUUAUAUUAUCAUAUCGUUUAUAAUCUAGGAUAUAUCCUCCUUCACAUAACAAUAUCAUUGAUUCAUCGUCAUAAAUUGAUAUUAUGAGUUAUGCAGAUGUGUAGACAUGCAUGCAAUGCUCUACACCAACAUUGUUUUAGCUAUACAGGUUGUCAACAAGUACUUCGCUCAAGGGCCAUGACAAACUCAAGAAAAACGGCCAAGUUCACCAAUUGAAAAAUAAAUAGUGUCUCCACAUCUAUAUGUCAUACAAAAAGAAUUGUAUCCGUCAAACUGAAUUAUUUUUUUCUCUCGGUAUAAGACUUUUAUCUCUAUAAAUGAAUUAAAAAGGAAGACUUCUACCGGAUAUUUUUGUAGGUAGUUUAGAACAUAUGAAAAAGCCAAUGAAAUGAUAAAUUUUAAUAGAAUUAAGCGGUCUCUUUCCAUAUAAUACAACGCGAAGCAUGGUUCAUGCCUUGUUGACCAUAAGUUACGAUUUAAAAUAUCAAUGUGGGUCAACAAGGAAUGGAGGCAUAAACUAGCCAGUGUUUAUCUAACAGGUAUAUGAAUCUUCUUUUGUUUUAGUAAGCAAAGGAGAUUGGCGAUUUUUCGGCGAUACGCGAACUAGGUUUCUCAACAUGACUUCGGCGCCGCCGCCAGACUCGGAGGGAACGGAUCCGGCUACGAAAGAGAAUCAGGAAGGCUUGUUACGAGAGAAGGGGGAGUUAUCACCGGUGGAGACACAGACAAUGAAGGAAAUCGCUCUGAAAGCUAUAUUGUGGGUUGGUGUAGCUCAGGAGAAGAAAGUUUUGAGAAAAAUACAACGUCGACAUUACGAAUCAGGAAGGUCAACUUAGCGUGGAAAUUCCGGAUGAAGUGGUCGUCAAUACGAACCCAAUGUGGGAGGAUUUUUUGGUAGGAAAUUUUUUGGAUACUGCGCCUCACGUCGCAAAGAUUCACGCCGUGGUUAACAAAAUCUGGAGAGAAGGGGGAAAGGGGCAGGCAGUAGAAGUCUAUGAAGUCGAUUCUACAACCAUGAAGUUUCGAGUCUCGGAUCCGUCUAUGAGAGCUAGAAUCUUAAGAAGGGGGAUGUGGAACAUCGGUAACAUACCUUUAGUGGUAACAAAGUGGACUCCGGAAGAGCUCAAGGAGAAGCCAGAGAUCCAAGCGAUUCCGAUGUGGGUCUACCUGAAAAAUGUUCCAAUGAACAUGUACUCAUGGGAAGGACUGAGCUUCAUCACAAGCGCAGUUGGACAUCCGGUGAAGAUCCACCCAGAAACUGCCUUCUGUUCAAACUUCAAACUCGCAAAAAUCUUUGUGAAUGCGAAUCUAACCAAGGAACUUCCAAAAAAGAUCAACUUUACGAAGAAUGGGAAAUCUACCACAGUUGAGUUCAUCUACCCUCGAUUGCCAGUUCGAUGUCUCACCUGUAACAAAUGGGGCCAUGUGGAGAAGGCAUGUGUUAUGAAUAAGAAAGAUGAAGCUCUCAGAUCGGUCACUGAGAUGAUAAAAGAGGGGUACUCAAGGGAGAAUGCUACAGAGGAACUAGCAAAUAAGGAGGGAAACAGUGUCAUAAGGAGAAGUGAAAUGUCAACACCAGAGAAAUCAAUUGUUGAGAAAGAAAUGGAGGUGAUCGAAGAAGGGGAAGUGGUGAAGGGCUGGUCUGAUGUAACACCUGGAAAAGCUAGAAAAAGUCCCAAACUGCUAGAAUACGGUCAGGUCAAAAUUGCAACGCGGUUCGAUGCCCUGUCAAAUGUUGAUGAUAAUGGGGACCUGGUAGAGAGGAUAGAAGAAGUAGAAGCUGUACCUGUAGGAGAAAAAAUGGAAGAUGAAACUGAGACACUAGGGGAGGACAAUCUCAUAACUCCAGCAAAAAACAACGAGCAGAGUCAGAAUGGAAACAACUCUACUACAGAGCAAGAAAAGCCAGAUGAGGUAGUUGGAGGGAAAAGCUUGCGACCUUCACUUUCGAGAGUCUCUAAAACAAAUCAUAAAGUCAUCCCUGAGUGCACUGCAAAAGAAACUGAGAACCCAGACACGCUGGGAAAAAGGUCUCGAAAACCUUCUCAAUGACAGGUUUCUUCUGGAAUGUGAGAGGAUUCAACAAAGCGUCUAAACACACUGUUGUACAUAACUAGAUAAGGAAUAAGGGGCUUCAGUUUGGAGCUAUUUUGGAGUCUAGAGUAAAGGAAAAUAAACUGGAGCAGAUUGUUUCUUCUGUCUUCCCGGGCUGGUCUUUUGUAAAUAACUACGAGCACAGCAGGAAAGGAAGAAUUUGGGUUAUUUGGAGUCCUCAAGUAAGGGUGACGCCAGUUUUUAAGUCAGAUCAGAUCAUCACCAUCUCAGUUCUUAUGUAGGGUGCUACUGAGGAGUUCUUUUGUUCCUUCGUUUAUGCUGAGAACACACCAGAGAGAAGGAAGGAACUUUGGGAGGAUAUAAAAACCCACCAGAAUUCCCCAUUGUUCAGGAAUAAAGAAUGGGUCAUCAUGGGAGAUUUUAACGAAAUCCUUGAGGGAGAUGAGCAUUCUAACUAUCAAGAUGCAGGUUUAUCCACUCCGGGAAUGAGGGAUUUUGAAGAUGUCAUUCAGCAUUGCAGCUUCACAGAUAUGGGGUUUCAGGGGCCGCAGUUUACGUGGUGUAAUAAGUGAGACGAGGGAAUCAUAUGCAAGAAGCUAGAUCGAAUUCUCGUUAAUGAAACAUGGUUGAACACUCGCACUCAAGCCUAUGGUGUUUUUGAAGCGGGGGGUUGUUCAGAUCAUCUUCGAGGAAGAUUCCACUUAGAAGUGGAGGCUAUGGGCAAAAGGAAACCCUUCAAGUUCUCAAACGCUCUUGCUGAUAUGCCAGAGCUCCUUGCAGUUGUUCAGGACUUCUGGAGAGACACUCAACUGCUGUUUGACUCUACCUCAGCGCUUUAUAGAUUUUCAAAGUCUCUUAAAGCUCUAAAGCCCCUGAUUCGAAACUUGAGUAAAACAAAACUGGGAGAGCUAACGCGAAAGGUUAAGGAAGCCUACCUGGACCUCUGUGAAAAACAGGAGAAAUUGUUUCGAGACCCAAUGUCAGACAAUGUCCAUGUGGAGAUGAUGGCAAAUGAAAGAUGGCAGAGAGUGUCAGCCAUUGAGGAAAAGGUUCUGAAGCAGCGAUCGAAGCUUCACUGGCUUCAAGUGGGAGACAAUAACAAUAAGGCUUUCCAUAAUGAUGCCAAGGCCAGAGAAGUCCGGAAUGGCAUCAGAGAAAUUUAAUGCCCUUCUGGAAGAGUGGUGACGUCACAAGAUGACAUUAAAACAGAGGCCGAGAGAUUUUUCAAAGAGUUUCUCAGUUCUGAACUGACUGAUCUCCAGAUUAGGACAGUUCCAGAACUGCAAGAAAUCGUUCCUUUCCGGUGCAGUAAUGAAGAGAGGUCCUCGCUUAUCAGGCCGGUAACAGAGGAGGAGAUCCGAGAAGUUAUCUUUCAUAUGCCGAGCAAUAAAUCUCCAGGCCCCGAAGGAUACUCAGUUGAGUUUUUCAAAGCCUCUUGGAGUGUAAUUGCAAAGGACUUCACCACCGCGGUACAAUCCUUCUUCAGUAAAGGGUUUCUUCCGAAGGGCCUGAACUCAACAAUUCUAGCUCUCAUACCCAAGAAGGAAUCUGCGACUGAGAUGAAGGACUAUAGACCGAUCUCCUGCUGCAAUGUCUUGUACAAGGUGAUCUCGAAGAUCAUAGCUAACAGGCUAAAAAGCACUCUUCCUCAAUGCAUCUCUCCAAACCAGUCAGCAUUCGUGAAGGAUAGGCUACUGGUGGAGAACCUACUCCUGGCAACUGAAAUUGUGAAAGACUAUCACAAGGGAGACAUCACGCCGAGAUGUACUCCAAAUAUCGAUAUUGCUAAAGCUUUCGACACAGUUCAUUGGAGUUUCCUCUUGAACACAUUGAGAGCACCAAACAUACCGGAGGAAUUUAUUCAUUGGAUUGAGAUUUGUGUCUGCACGGCCUCCUUCUCCGUGCAGAUCAACGGGGAGUUAGCCGAGUUUUUUCAGAGCAAGAGAGGUUUGAGGCAAGGGUGUGCUCUGUCUCCCUAUCUCUUUGUCAUCUGCAUGAAUGUUCUCUCUCACAUGAUUGAUAAAGAGGCUGAAAGGGGCUUGGUCGGCUAUCAUCCUCGGUGUAAGAACAUCCUUCUCACACGUUUGAGCUUUGCUGACGAUCUCAUGGUGUUUACGGACGGUACAAAAUGCUCCAUUGAAGGUAUACUUCGAGUAUUUGAUGACUUUGCAGCGAUAUCAGGUAUGAAGAUUAGUCUUGAGAAGUCUACACUCUACAUAGCGGGUACCACUCAAAAUGAAGAAGAAGACAUCCUAAGCACCUUCCCUCUGCCCUCGGGAAAGCUGCAUGUCCGCUAUCUGGGGCUCCCCCUCCUGACUAAACGUAUGACAGUUCAGGACUACCUCCCCGUGGUCGAGAGAAUCCGCAAAAGAAUGAAGUCAUGGACGGGCAGGUUCUUAUCACAAGGUGGUCGUUUACAGCUUAUCAAAUCAGUUAUCGCAAGCUUCACAAACUUCUGGAUGCAAAGCGUUUAGGCUCCCUAGCAACUGUCUGAAAGAAAUUGAGAGGUUUUGCUCGGCUUUCUUAUGGUCAGGACCUGAACUGAAAACAAGCAAAGCUAAAGUAAGCUGGAAAGAUGUCUGCCUACCGAAACAUGAAGGGGGGUUGGGGGCUCAGGCCGCUAAAAGAAGUAAAUGUGGUUCAUGGUUUGAAACUACUCUGGAGGAUUCACUCUGCGCAUAACUCGCUUUGGGUUCGAUGGGUGCAUUGCUAUCUGAUCAGGAAGGGGUCACUCUGGUCGAUAAAAGAAAAUACAACAUCUGUAUCAUGGGUUUGGCGAAAGCUACUAAAACUCCGUAAGCUUGCAAAGCAGUUCUUCAAAAGGGAAGUCAGAAAUGGGAAAGAAACAUCAUUCUGGUUUGAUGUGUGGUCACCACUUGGAUGUCUCAAGGACGUGUUGGGAGAACGAGGAUACAUUGCUAUGGGCUUCUCUGAAAACGCGGUGAUGGCUGAUGUUCUUGGUAAUCAUCGGAGAAGAAGACACAUGCUGAGUCUCCUAAAUGAGAUAGAAAAUGAGAUUGCACUUCUUCAAGCUGACUCCAGCCAAGAAGAAGACACACCUCUUUGGAAACAGAAAGAAGGGAAGUAUGCUAGUGUUUUUUCAUCAAAGAAAACCUGGCUACAUAUACGAUCUACACAACAAAUCUGCGAGUGGAGUAAGGGUAUUUGGUUCACGCAAUCCACACCAAAAUACUCGUUUCUUUUUUGGGUUGCUCUCCGCCAACGUCUGAAGACCUAUGACAGGAUACAACAAUGGAAUGGGGCAGUUGAUGCAACUUGCGUACUCUGCAAGGUAACAAAUGAAACUUGCCACCAUCUCUUCUUUAGUUGCGACUACUCAAAGCAGAUUUGGAAGGCCUUAGUAGGGCGGAUUCUUCAGAGAGCAUUUACUACAUCAUGGAAUGAGCUAAUAGAGAUCAUCUCGAGCGCAAGGAUGCCACCCACAGAGCAGUUUCUUAUUCGCUACGCUUUCCAAGCGACAGUUCAUGCGUUGUGGAGAGAGAGGAACGCUCGCAGACAUGGAGAGCAGCCACAGCCUGCAACUACCCUCACCAAGUUUGUAGAUAAAACCAUCAGGCUUAAGUUGCUAUCGGUGAAGGGGCUGGGACACAAAUACUUGGAAGAGAGUUUGAUCUCUUGGUUUGCUACUAGGGAGUAAUCACCAUGAGGAAUAUUUUUAGAGUAUAGAUUAUAUCUAUACAAAAUCAGAUGCACUAGAUGUACAAAGUUUUGACUGGAUAAAAAUUUUACAUUCUUUCAAAAAAAAAAGAAUCUUCCAAAACUAAGAGCAGCAUUAACCGGGUAUGUAAGAGGGUUUUUAGAAGGGGAGGGAACCACAAAAAUAGGGGGACCGAGGAAGAAGGGAGCCACAUGUAGCCAAAUAAGAAACGUAUGUAGUUGGGUUUUUCUGCUGUGCGCGGACCCCACUGACACGUGGCAGCCCGCGAUUGAUUCUUUUUUAAUUUUUUUUUUAAAUCGGCCAAAAGAAAAAAAAAAUUAGAAACCCAUUUGGAUAUUUGGGUUAAUGAUGCUCUAAGGUUGCAUACAUUGGGAUGACUUUCAGUACUCCACGCAGCUAGUAGACUUGGAGAUAGCCAACAUCCAAUAUUUUGAUUAAAACACACACUGAUGGUUAGGGAAAACUAGACUCCACGCAGGGGCGAAGGCAGGCUGAUAGAUGUGGGGGCAUGUGCACCCGUGCACCCCUAAUAAUUCAAGUUUGAUGCCUUAUUAUAUUUUUGUUAUAUCUUUUUAGCAUUUUUUUUUUUUGUAACUGGCUUCAUAUUAAAAUUGCAGAAGGAAUAAAAACGUUUUACAAAAGCACUAAUGCUCUAGUAGAAGUAGUCCAACAGCCCAUUAUAAACUCAUAUUUUAGAACCCUUAAACCUUAGAUAUUUGCCCAUUAGGAGGCCCAAACGAUUGAACCCUUUAGUAAGAUGGAGAUGGUGAGCCGACAGAUUUAUCGGGUAGAAGAAACAGAGAGAAAUGCAGAGAAACGAUCAAUGGUGGGAGGAGUCGAUGUGGAGCAUGUGAUAGAUCAACGAAACCAUAGUUGUAACAUCUCUGAAACCAUAGUUGUAACAUCUUUUUAGCAUUGGUGCACCCAUUACAUUUAUAUUCUAGCUUCGGCCCUGACUCCGCGUAGGAAAAUUUUUACUGAGCAGUGGAAGUUAUAGAUUCAGGAAUGCAUCGCUUGAAGGAAAUGGAUAAAAGACUUCUUUUAUAGCUAUAUAUCAAACAAAAACGUAUUUGUAUAAAAAAAAUUAAAGAUAUAAAAGUAGUAUAUGAGUAUGUAGAAAUAUAAAAUAAUGCAAGCAGCCCAAUGGUCUCCACUAUAUAAAAACAUACACAUAUUCUAUUUUGAAAAACCAUAUGAAUAGGUCACCAAUGGUUUCUUUAUUCACCAUUUUUUUAAAAAAAUUGUAUCUAUAUAAAUUAUAAAACAUGCUAUAGUGUUUUGUUUUCUUGGACAAUGGUCGGACAGCUAAGGGAAGAUCGCUCUCCUCAUCAGACCAAAAAAUUACAAGCGAGAGUGUGUGUAAUGACCCCAACCCCAAUGUAUCUCCAAAGGCCAACUUGUUUUUUUUUAAAAGAAAGAGAGAGAGAGAGAGAGAGAAAGAAAGAGAGAGAGAGAGAGAAGAGGAAGGGAGAAAGCUUACCUGAGUUGCCACCGCGCCUCGAGACCACGUUGAGCUCGUCACCACCGUCCGCUGCAGCUUAGAAUCGCCGGAAACCGCCAUGCAGUUAAGCUUAGUUUCGUCCGUUUAGUAAUUCGACAAUAACUUUCUAACCGUGAUGAAUCUCGUGAAUCCAAGACCACCAUCGUGUUCCUCUCGUCGAGACGAAGCCGUAGACACCAAGCACGCCUCAAACGGAGCCCGGACGAAGCCGCACGCGCCUCCUGAAGAUUCGCCUCGGCGCGCGCGUGAAACACACGCGCCUCCGCCGUUCGCCGGAGCCGCCGUGACCGACCACCGUCCGUUCGCCGCCGAGAAGCUGCCGCCGCGUCGCCGCCGUUAAUUUUUCCGAUUUGGAGUCCAUUUGAGCAGCUGGAGUUCAUAGAUACCACUUCUUAUUGCUAAGAGAUAUCAGCGGAGACGCAAGGAGUUGUGACGAUACAGAGAGCGUUUAACGCGACGGAAGAAGGAUUUGCUUCUCUCGUCUCUGAGCUGUGGAGUACGAUGCCUAAUUUGGCAACUGUUGGCACUUGCUGUUUGGUUGGUGUGAUAUAUCAAAGUACUCUUUUCGUGGCGAGUCUCGGAGAUUCGCGGGUUGUUUUAGGGAAGAAAGGGAGCUCUGGGGGACUCUCUGCUAUUCAGCUGUCGAGCGAGCACAAUGCUAACAAUGAGGAUAUUCUUUGGGAGCUCAAGGACUUGCAUCCUGAUGAUCCGCAGAUCGUUGUGUUUAAGCAUGGUGUUUGGAGAGUUAAAGGUUUCGAGAUCUAUAGGAGACAUGUACAUGAAAAGGCAAGAGUUUAACAGGGAACCAAUCGGUCAAAAGUUUAGAAUUGCGGAGCCAAUGAAGAGACCGUUGAUGUCUGCGACCCCCACCAUACUCUCUCAUCCCUUGCACCCUAAUGAUUUGUUUCUCAUUUUUGCUUCCGAUGGUCUUUGGGAGCAUU